GAAAAAGCUCGAGUAAGCUGCUAUAAAGAAACUCACAACAUGGUUCUCAAAUCAUUAAAUAGUGGAUAAUUUCAUGACAGGUAGGGAGAGCUUGGGAAGGGUGGUUUAUAAAGGGGCCGUGGAGACCCAGAGAGAUUGGAUUUUGGCGUGUUUGGGAAUGGAGGAGACAAGCGAGCGACAAAGGAGGAGAGGGGGAAGAUGCAUAGGAGAGCGUAGCAACAGUGAGUAACACUCCUUUCACUCUCACAGGCAGUGUGCAGGUAGGCUAAAAAUGCUCGAUAAUCGAGCUCCUAAUCCCUUCCUCUUUUCGACUCCCGCUUACAUUUACUCUUUUUUCUUUUAUUCAGCCAAAAAGUGAGAGAUGUACAUGAUGCAGCAGAUAUGAAAUGAAGCAAUUUUAAC
rnacentral:lncRNA from 1 species